GAUCCUGGCUCGGGACGAACGCUGGCGGCGUGCCUAAUACAUGCAAGUAGAACGCUGGAAGGAGGAGCUUGCUUCUCCGGAUGAGUUGCGAACGGGUGAGUAACGCGUAGGUAACCUGCCUGGUAGCGGGGGAUAACUAUUGGAAACGAUAGCUAAUACCGCAUAAGAGUAGAUGUUGCAUGACAUUUGCUUAAAAGGUGCAAUUGCAUCACUACCAGAUGGACCUGCGUUGUAUUAG
rnacentral:rRNA from 1 species